UGGGGAAUAUUGGGCAAUGGGCGCAAGCCUGACCCAGCGACGCCGCGUGAGUGAAGACGGUCUUCGGAUUGUAAAACUCUGUUGACAGGGACGAUAAUGACGGUACCUGUCGAGGAAGUCACGACUAACUACGUGCCAGCAGUCGCGGUAAUACGUAGGUGACAAGCGUUAUCCGGAUUUAUUGGGUGUAAAGGGUGUGUAGGCGGGUAGGCAAGUCAGAUGUGAAAACUAUGGGCUCAACUCAUAGCCUGCAUUUGAAACUGUCUAUCUUGAGGGUCGGAGAGGUAAUUGGAAUUCCUGGUGUAGCGGUGAAAUGCGUAGAUAUCAGGAGGAACACCGGUGGCGAAGGCGGAUUACUGGACGACAACUGACGCUGAGACACGAAAGCGUGGGGAGCAAACAGG
rnacentral:rRNA from 2 species